CUUCGCCCACCUUCACUUAAGGAACCGCGGGGAAGGACCUACGUGAGACCUGUGCGGCGGGGUCGGGGCUCAUGGCCGCGUCCAGGACGCUCGGCACUUUCCGUCUCCCGCCGUUACCCACGAUUCGAGAAAUCAUUAAGUUGUUUAGACUGCAAGCCGUGAAGCAGCUAUCCCAGAAUUUUCUCUUGGACUUGAGGCUGACAGAUAAAAUUGUAAGGAAAGCUGGCAGUCUGACAAAUGCUUAUGUUUAUGAAGUGGGCCCUGGGCCUGGGGGAAUCACAAGAUCCAUUCUCAAUGCCGGUGUUGCUGAACUUCUGGUGGUUGAAAAGGAUGGUCGAUUUAUUCCUGGAUUACAGAUGCUUUCUGAUGCAGCACCUGGAAAACUGAGAAUUGUCCAUGGAGAUGUCUUGACAUUUAAGAUAGAAAAGGCUUUUCCAGAAAGUCUCAAAAGACAGUGGGAGGAUGAUCCUCCAAAUGUACAUAUUAUUGGAAAUCUGCCUUUUAGUGUAUCAACUCCACUGAUUAUCAAAUGGCUUGAAAACGUUUCUCAUAGAAAUGGACCUUUUGCUUACGGCAGAACCCAGAUGACUUUGACUUUUCAAAAGGAAGUGGCAGAGAGACUUACAGCCAGUACAGGAAGCAAGCAGCGUAGUCGCCUCUCCAUCAUGGCCCAGUACCUCUGCGACGUUCAGCACCUCUUGACAAUUCCAGGUCAGGCUUUCAUCCCCAAACCGGAGGUGGACUCGGGGGUGGUGCAUUUCACUCCCCUGACCCAGCCGAGGAUAGAGCAGCCAUUCAAGCUGGUGGAGAGAGUCGUUCAGAAUGCCUUUCAGUUCCGAAGGAAAUACUGCCAUCGAGGGCUUGGAAUGUUAUUCCCUGAAGCCCAGCGAUUAGAAAGCACUGGGAAACUGUUACAGUUGGCCGAUGUGGACCCUACUCUUCGACCCACCCAGCUCUCUGUCUUACAUUUUAAGAGCCUCUGUGACGCAUACCGAAAAAUGUGUGAUGAAGACCCACACCUCUUUGCUUACAAUUUCAGAGAAGAACUCAAGCAAAAGGGGAUGGCAAGGAGAGUUACAGACUGUAGCUGCUACGUCAGGGGCUGGCAGCCGACUGGAUGUUGAUGUUCACAGAGUUGAACUUCUCCUAUGUGUGCUCCCCAGGUGUGACUUAUUCCCCUUUUACAGCUUGGUAAAGAGAAUAAAUAUCGUCAAGUAAGUUUAAAAGUGAAACCAGCAACUUAACCCAUAUCUGGAUUGACCUGUAUUAUGCCUUUCCAUGGCUCUCUGUUUCAUAAAAACACUCCUCGUUGACAACCGACGUUAAGCUCUGGACGCUGAAUUCUCGCUCGAGAACGGAGCUGAGAUCAAGGUUGGCAUUUUCCGAUUGACUGUCCAGGGACUGGUGACGCAUCUGCGCCUUCAGCAGAGUUCCCCUGUCCCUCUUGGUGCUGUUGGCUUUGCGUUUGAUGGCGCAGAAGUGCCCCCGGACCAGCUUGGGCUGCCCGUCCUUGCCGGGCGGCUGCUGAGCUGGCCGGGCGUCCGGGUCCUCCGAGAUCCUCAGUCUCUGGAACUGGAUCUCGAUGUCUGUGGUAGGGCUGCCCUGCUUCCCAGCCUGGUGGUCGUCCUCGUCGUCGUCGCUCAGAAUGUCGCUCUCUUUGAUGAGACUGUCGGAGAAGUCGGCCAGGCCCUCGUGGGGGUGUUUCUGGGCGUCCUGUCUGCUCCCGGCCGGGGGGCAGCCGCUGCUCUGGGUGCCACUGCUCAGGCUGCCCUCAUCCGAGUCCAGCGAGCUGCCCUUGCCCGGCUCCCCGGGCCACUCGCUGCUGGAGGAAUUCUUAAGGACUUUUAAGGACCUGGAUGAAGCUGCAGUGAGAAAAGCACAUUUUCCCUUAUGGUAGAGGAACCGAUUCCACAGUGUGUUCAUUUGUUCAUUUCUGCCUUGUGGGUUAUCAGAUUUAACAUCUUAAUUAAAAUUUCAUCACCUCACUUCACUCCUGGGACUAAAAAAAAUGUAGAUACUGCAAAUACGGACAUUUUUUAUUUAUGUUUAUUUGAAAUUUUAAGUUGGAAUUUGGCAUUUUUUAGAGGACCAAUUACCAGAGCUUAUUACUGAGAACAAUACGCUAUAAACUAUCAUAAGGGCUAGGCUUCUUAUUACCAAUGAAUAAAUUUAAAAGUUAGUUUUACAGCUAAUUAAUGAAUAAAUUAGCUCUUGCUAAUGAAUAAAUUUAAAAGUUAGUUGCUAAUAAAAUCUAGGUUCCUUUCUUUCACUAAAGUACUUUGUAGUUUGAGAACUAAGAUUACACCACCGUAUUUCUCUGCCCACCUUCUCACCGGUUCAUUUCCCUUGCUGCUCAAUUAAAAGUACAAAAAUGCUUUUUCUCUCUCAUGAGAACUGUCUCUGCCGGAAUUUCUAGCCAACUUUGAGAUUUAACAUGAAUAUUGAAUCGUGUGCGUGUGUGUGUGUACGUAUAAUUCCUUUCUCUUGGGUAGAAGGGAAAGGGGGAGCUCAGUUGUGUUUCUGCAGACAACAGUGUAUUUUUAAUGGCUGUAGCUUAUUUUGCCAGUAGAGGAAAAUUUGAGGAGGUCAAACUGUGACCAAAAAGAAGAGAUACACUUUGUAAGACUAAAAACUAGAUCAGUGAUAUUAACAAAAUAGUUAACAUAGAAAGAAGGUUCUAAAAAUUUAAGCUGACAUUUUAAAAACGGGCAGAAAGUUGAAGAACAGCAUGAUUUGGAAUGUUCACCUGUGGGCUUAUUAAGAAUGAGUAUUGGCGAGCAGUAGGUUUCUUGACCUUAAUUCACUGAGUGUUGACCUUCUAGAGGCCUUGCACUGUUCUGAGCACCGGGAAUGCGGCAAUGAGCACAACAGUCCCUUGACUCCUGUACAUCUCAGUGGAAGAAAGACAGAAGACGGUAAGUGCACACUAUGUCAGGAUUUGGAUUGGGGGUGCUUAUGUUUUAUAAAAGGAGGUCUGGGACCGAGCAUGUUUAGGCUUCUUAAAAGGAAAUAAAAUUGCUGCUACAUUCUCAUGUCACCCUGUGUAUCGGGUGUGUGGUGUAGAGCUUACGAAGCUACUGCUGAUGAGUUACAAAGCGAUGACCUGCUGCUCUCUCCUGAAAGCAUACAUCCUUGCAGAGGAGCUCGUCAUGUUUUCCUGAAUAAACCCAAGGCUAGCAGAGUUCUUACCUAAUUUGGCUGAGACAGGAACGCGGUUCUUGAGGGGUACCAGGCGAUCUUUACAUGUUUUCUCCAGAGGUAAUUCACACUUUAUGUGACGCCUGAAGUUCUCCCUCAGAAUAGAUCGAAUCACCUUGACAAUGUUGGUUUUGCUUUCGUUGUCACUGGCGGGGAAAGAGAAGACAUGUUGUAGUGUCUGCUGUCUCGUCCUGCUUCCAUUCCACGCCUCCUGGCCCUCCCGUGGCACGUGACUGCUCUCAGCACAGACUGACAGCGAGUCACCCAGCCUCUGUGUGCCUCGGUCUCUCGUCAUUUACAAAAGGAGCGAGAAUUGAUCGCUUUUGAACUUCCUUCAAGCACUAAAAUUUGGAUGUACAUUUAAUCAAUGUAUAUUCUCCUGGAGCCGCAGUUGCCAGUUUGGAGAGGGUGGGUGUGAUCCUGAAGUCAUCAACAUUCAGGAGGGCACUAAAAAUAAACCCACUUUUAAGAGAACAUAAUUCUGUCUUAGGCCCAUUGGCUUUAAUUUCUGGAAGUCAGUAAUACCUGCAGCACAACUGAAAGAUGGUUUCUGGCCGUCCUUCUAUUUCUGACUUGGUGUGGAUCAGCUCCCAUAAGGAAUUAUUUUCUGUCCCUGUGUAAAAAGAAACAAGGGGCCGCAAAUUUGCCAAAGAUGCUGUGGUAAAGGACACUUGUGAAGCUUAAAAACCACAAUUUUAGUAACUUUUUAAAGAGUUAAAUAUUCCCCAUCCUGACUCUCAUCAUUUUCUGGUGUGGCUCCUCCUAUGUAUGACUUUCACAAAUAGUUACAAGAAGUUAAAUACGUUGUAGUUACUUUGUACACUUCCUGCUAAGGUUUCCCAUCCGUCUUGGUGCUUUCGCCCUACCCUGGAUUCCAUCUCUGGGAAAGAGGUUAAAUGGAUCCCAUUUUUCAACCCCGUUCCUUAGAAGGAACGGUAGGAUGUGCUCAGGCUCUUGAGGUAAAGGAGGCCAGCCCCAAACUCAGUCAUGGUCCAGGAAACAUGAGCACUUCCAAUGAAAACUGAACAGGGGCCCAGCCGUCACUGCGGGCCUCAGCCUGUUGGUCCUUUGCUUAACCAGAGGUACUGUCACCAGGACAGGGUUAUUCUGAAAGGAUCUCUGAACAUUUUCCACAGUGGAAAUUUUUUUUUUAUAUCACCUGUAAUAAAGCUUAAUCUUAAGAAAUUUUCUGGUGUAUCAAAAUUUGUAAAAAUUUAAAUUUGUGGACCUUUGUUUCUUUAACAAAUUUUAGAGAUAGAUAUUAUCCCUAAAGUUAUUAGAAAAAUGUUGAAAACCAUCGACAGUGAAAAUAAGGAAGCAAUAAAGAGAGGUAUUUGGCAAAGAAAAGCCAUCCACUGGCAUUUACUUUCUCCAAUCUCUCUUGUCCUCAUUUUCCUUGCCUAUAAGAUAAAAUACCAAAAAUUAUUCCCAGGUUCUUUGCUACUUUUUCAUUCCACAGUUUAAAAAUUCCCUUAAAAUGUUUUUUCUGGCAUUUGUACGACACACAACAAUUACCUGCUGUAUUCCCCAGUCUGACUUGAAGCGCGGAUAUGGGGAUCAACCAGCGAAACUUAAACGGAUCCAGGUCAGCAGAGUUGUGUGCCGGCCGGGAGUUCGACGGCUGCAGCGUGAGAGCCCACCAAGAACAGUGUUAAAGCAAGCUCGCUCCCGCGGGCAUGUGCGCGCACAACAGAAGCUGUGAGCUCACCCUGGUGCAGACCUGCCACCGUGUGGGGCUCAGGAUGCAAAAGGGAAUCAGGUCAGGUACCGUAACUGGACCUCCUAGCUUUGACACGUGGAGAACACAUCACUCUUUCUCUGCGAUCCAAACAGCAGCUCUUUAACAGAUACUCUGUUUACUAUCAAAGUGAGGGGCUUUGUGUAUCUGACAAAUCUGUAUCUUAGGCCAAUAAUUUCUGAGGUUACAAAAGAAGACACCUCCGCGUCAGCCGUAAAAAGCUUCACGGGUCCUCGGGUGUUGGUUUCAGAGUCAGGCUCCGCUCAGAGCCGUCCACAGGGUGGAGCCUCACACAACAUGUUUGAUCAGCCGCACUUGGGCAGCAAACCACACACAAUUUCAAAGUUGUAGGAAAACAGGCCGGGGUUUCGGUCCUGGCAGCACUCUUUGUUUGUUAACCACGUAACCUGAAGUAGUUUAUUUCAACUCACUGAGCUUCAAUUAUCUUCUCUGAAAAAUAGAAAUGGAAACACCCUUCCAGAGGCUAUUCCAGUGAGAUAAUUUUUGCCAAAAUAUUUUGCCCACCUUACAGAGAUGGCCAUACUACCUAGCUAUUUUCACGUACUAAAAUGGUACCUAAGGUUAACAAUCACAGUACUGACAAAUGUUCCAGAAUGUGAAAGCAAGCAGGGAAGAGGGGAGCUCGUGGGCCUGGGGGGCGGCAGCCGUCACAUCGCGGCCUGGGCCCCUCGCUUCUUACCUGUCAGGUGGUAAUGCUCUUCGCUCUCGUGGUCUGUCAGGGACACGAGCUCCUUGAGCAGCAGUGGGUACUUGAGCACCCUCUGAACGGGCUUGAUGAGGUAAGACUCCAGAGUGGAGGAGUGCUGCUUGGUGGGGUUCCGGGCGUCCAGAAAAGCCUUGAAGGCUUUAUCAGUUUUAGCUACAAGCAGAUGCAUUAAAAGACCCUUAGAAGAGCACAGGAGGAUGAAUUAAAUUCUGCUUCAUUUAGGUUUUAAUGGAAUUACAGAUGAUCCACUUCUACAGUCCUCCUAAUGACAUCCUUCAAGAAAAACCCAGAUGCACCCGUGGGUCACUGCCCGGCUGUCAGGGUGGAUUCAGCACCGCCGCUCUGUGAUGAAUCCCAUGAGAGCUUAAGGGGGCUUACGAGGCUGCCAGAAGAGUCCCAGCCACACACCAAAGAGGGACAUCGAGUCAAAAUGCAGGAGUGUCUGCCUUUAAAGGCACAUUCACAUGCAUACCCAUGAGAGAGACUGGUAUAGGUGCCGGAAAAGUGCGUUUCAAACGAUUCAUAAAGCCACAAAACAGUGUAUCCAAACCCUAUGCCAUACCCCCCAAAAGGUUCACAGAACAAAACAAACCAGUAUUUUUUUCCACGGACCUAUAGCGCAAAUUGUUUCUUAUUCUAUACACUUGAGGGCUAUCUGCAAAGCAAGCUUUUUUUUCCUUUAAAAAUAAGUUGAUAAGCACUGCAGCCUCCAUCUCUACAGUUCCAAGCAAUCUAAACCUUCCACCAGAUUCAGACCCCUCUGGGCAGUGAAAACCACCUCUCUGUUCCGUGUCACGAAGGUACACACACGAACCCAAGUGCUUUCAGUUAUGAGGGUGCCAGUGGACACCCCAGCCGUUGCUUUGGAUUCCACCUGCUGGCACUGGUUGACCAGCUGUUGGAAUUCAGCCCAUUUGGAUGAAAACAAAUCUUUAUUUGGGGUUUUGUACAAAGGUAAAAUGGAACUUGUAGGAGAUGCAGUACCAUUCUGAACGUGGCUACUACACAAAGUGGAUGGGGAGAUGAUCCUUCAUCUUCGUGGCAAAGAAGGAACUGAGCAAACCAUUGGUAUGCUUUUAAUUUACUACACUGUCGAUAAGAAGGUGUUCAUGGGAGGAAACUAGUUCUUUCUGGUUUAAAGAACUAGAGGAGACAGAUUGGGCUCUGUCUUGUUGGCCUGAAGCACUCCAAGACUUCCCUUUUUCAACCUGAGCCUGUUCUAGGAUUUAAACCAAAUGGCAGAACUGCAUCAGUGGACCUGGCUAAACACUGUCGGUGUCUGGAUGAAGCCUACGCUCCCUCCACGACAGUACAGAGAGGCCAUUCCCCACUUCUGAAAAAGAAACACGGAAGAGCAAACUCCGGAUUCUUUAUGGCAAUGCCAUCAAGGAGCGUUUGAUGACAGACAGAAAGGGCUUGGAACGUAGCUUGGCUCCUACUUCCCUGCUGACACAACUAAAAAAGUUCCAAUGCAGAAUCCCCUCCAGCACUCGCCGUCGUCACACAAGACAGCCCUGGUUCACUGGGCAAAUCAUAACGGGAGUGAACUACACGAGGCCAACCCUAACUGUGAAGAAGGCAUUCAAGUCCUGGGGAAGUCACUUUUUAUCCUGGGAAUUUGUAACAGUUUAAGCUUCAGUAGGUUCAGAUCCUACUUCCAGGUACACUUGAGAAAACGCAGGUAGCCUGGCGAGCUUCCCUGGAGACGGUUCAGGUGACCUUGAAUAGGAUUACAUAUAUUUUCAUAAGACGCCUUCCACUGUAGGGCCCAUGCAGAACAGGAGCAACCCCUGGGGACCUGUAUUUGUUUGAUGUUCUCCGUGCAGGUUGAAUUACUGCUGCUCAUGACCUUGAGCUUAAAGGCCUCCUCUCAUCUCUGCCCCAGAAAUGAGAAUUCCAGAGAAUGGGAUAGAAAAAUAUCUUCUGAAAGAGACAAAUCCGAGAAUUCUAAUCUCAUACCUAAAGAGGUGUGUGAUGACUGAAAAAAGCCUUUGGUAAUAACAAAACCUCAGUUGAGCAUUGCUAGUUUAGGGUGUGGUAAAGGAAAUGUUCACAUAUUGAGGUCUGGGGAAGUCAUUCUGGCCUAUACACGAGUUAACUUUAAUGUAAAAAACAGCCUGUUUGUGGCCUUUCAAACAUACACUGUACAUCUGCUUUAAUUAUUAAAGAAAAGGGUGCAUUGACCAGAAGUAAAGAAUGUCCAUGUUAAAAUUAAAGAUGAAAUGCCUCCCUUCCUGGGACGCCAAUGCUGGUCCUCCUUCCAUGAUAAGACUUCCUUCCCAGGUGCCAAGGCCAUACUGACUGGCUGUGUACGUGCUGAUCUGGUUUUCCGGAAAUCUGGAAGGAAUGUAUCCCUGACUUGUUUGAUGUUCUUUGUUCUGACAAGACAUGAAACUGUGCUGACAGCCCUGCUUCUCCAGAGCAGAUCCUCAGAGGAAUCAGAGAAGCUGUCUUCUGGGCAGUACUCCUCAGUCUGGCUCAAAUAAAACUCUUUUCUAUUCCUAUUAUAGACUGUUUAUUGAUUAUUUUUGUCAACAGGUUAUUACAGGAAUAGCUUAAACAC